rnacentral:rRNA from 1 species
GCGAGCGGCGGAUGGGUGAGUAACACGUGGGGAACCUGCCCCUAAGUCUGGGAUACCAUUUGGAAACAGGUGCUAAUACCGGAUAAUAAAGCAGAUCGCAUGAUCAGCUUUUGAAAGGCGGCGUAAGCUGUCGCUAAGGGAUGGCCCCGCGGUGCAUUAACUAGUUGGUAAGGUAACGGCUUACCAAGGCGACGAUGCAUAGCCGAGUUGAGAGACUGAUCGGCCACAUUGGGACUGAGACACGGCCCAAACUCCUACGGGAGGCAGCAGUAGGGAAUCUUCCACAAUGGACGCAAGUCUGAUGGAGCAACGCCGCGUGAGUGAAGAAGGUUUUCGGAUCGUAAAGCUCUGUUGUUGGUGAAGAAGGAUAGAGGUAGUAACUGGCCUUUAUUUGACGGUAAUCAACCAGAAAGUCACGGCUAACUACGUGCCAGCAGCCGCGGUAAUACGUAGGCGGCAAGCGUUGUCCGGAUUUAUUGGGCGUAAAGCGAGCGCAGGCGGAAAAAUAAGUCCAAUGUGAAAGCCCUCGGCUUAACCGAGGGACUGCAUCGGAAACUGUUUUUCUUGAGUGCAGAAGAGGAGAGUGGAACUCCAUGUGUAGCGGUGGAAUGCGUAGAUAUAUGGAAGAACACCAGUGGCGAAGGCGGCUCUCUGGUCUGCAACUGACGCUGAGGCUCGAAAGCAUGGGGUAGCGAACAGGAUUAGAUACCCUGGUAGUCCAUGCCGUAAACGAUGA